UAUUUUAAUGAAAAUGAAAAAUGAAGAUGAAUUUUUAAUUUUGAUAAUAUACUGGAUAAAUUUAUACGUUCGAUCUGCUAAUAUAUAAAAGAAAACAAACUAGGUAAUUAAAUAGACAAUGGCUUGUGAGGCCUAUUAAUAGAAUGAGAGAUCAAAAUAGAGAUUAUAAUAAUUUAUUUCGAGAAAUAAAAAGUGAUUCUAAAUUAUUUUAUCGUUAUACCAGAAUGACUUUGAUACAUUUUCAGCAACUAGUACAAAUAACAAAAUAACAACCCUAUUUAACAAAAAAAAGUUCUCGUGCUUUAAACCCAAAACUACUUUUAAUAACUUUAAGAUAUCUUGCUACAGGUGACCGAUCAUUUAGUAUAGCUUUGGCGUUUAGAGUUAGUGAAGCCACAGCAAGAGAAGUGAUAAAAGAAGAAGUUUGUCUUGUUUUAAUUAAAGUUUUAAACUCAAUAUAUCUUUCUAUACCUACAGAAGAAGAUUGGAAAAAAUGUACAUAUGGAUAUUGAAAGAAGUUGAACAUUUCAAAUUAUCUGGGUUCUGUUGAUGGCAAACAUGUUAUAUGAUUUAAUUUCCUUAAUAAUUUCCUUA